rnacentral:lncRNA from 1 species
GCUAGAAUCACCACACUCAGGUGACAAAAGCAAGCUGUUCACAGAAAAUUCCAUGCUAGUCUUGGCAACAAAGGGCUCUCUGAAGUCGUAGGAAGUGGGGCAUGGGCCUGCAUGUCAGUGUGAUAGUUACUGGCUACUCAAUCACCCUCAGCCCUCUUCUCCAUCUUCCUCUGUUUUCUUGUCUCAUCAGCCACUCUGGCCCCAUGGGUAACAGGGCAGGCCUGGUCAGCCUCCCUGGGUUUUUGGCUGACACAGCUGAGGGCACACACCUCAAGGUUGAGGGCAGUGUUUUUUACAUCUGACGCCCCUGGGACCUGCUCCUGCCUCUUCUCCUCCUCUUCCUCUUCUUGCUCUCUUUGGAGCUCAGUGACUCAGUCUCAUCCCCCUGGGCCUCAUCCAGGGCUCCUGAUUCCUGGGGCUUUGUGCUCAGCAAUGAGGGAUCCUCAGCUUUUCCACUGCUCCCACUCAGGUCCCUUCCAGAUCCAUAGGUCUGACCCUGGGUGCCAGCCUCUUGGAAGGGCUUCCCGGAGCCUUCAUCCUUAUCUGCCUGUCCUAGUACCAUCAGUGGCCGUGGUUUACCAUGAGGUCUGAACCUCUGCAGCUUGUCACGGGGCCCCCAGACAAACUGGCAGCGAGGUCUGAAGUGCUCCCAUGCAAAGUACACAAGCUCCCGGCGCUGGUGUCUGCAACGAAUGGCGAACAUGAAGUAGUCCAGGACACUCUGACGCACGCUGGGCAGUUGGUGCUGUACCAGUGUCUCCUCCAGGAAGAAGCGGACCAGCGGUGCCUGGUAGUGCUCUAAGCCCAGCUCUCCCAGCGACUUGAGGAUGCGUGUAAUGCGCAGGUUGUUGUGCCUGUGACUGUUGAGGUUCUGGAAGCGUGGCUGGAAGUUCUGUGCACGGCAGACAGCACCGGUGUCCCGGUCCUCAAGUUGGAUCCCAUAGAAGCCCAGCAUGAGUUCAUAGGCCCGGACCAGACGCUCUUUGACCUCCUGGGAGCUUUUAAAUGCCUCCACCUCCUUGAGUGUGAGGGGCUUGGCAUGCUGGUUCACUCCUGGUUCCCUCAGAGGAAACAGCCACUGGAUAUAGGAGUGAUUCUCUUCAAGGACGAAAUAGUUGUCUUUCCAGUUGUGAAGAAUUUCCUCAAUGUAGAGACCAUUUGGCUGGAAGCAGAUCUCAUUUUUGUAGAAGCGCAGGUGGAAUCGUAGUCCGGGUCAUCCAUUCUCAAGAGGCAGGACCGGCUUUCCAUGGAAAGGAAAGGGGAAGAGGAG